AGUUGCUAACGCGUGAAGGCGAGCACUCUAGGACGAACUGCCGUUGACAAAACGGAGGAAGGUGGGAUGACGUCAAAUCAUCAUGCCCCUUAUGUUCUGGGCUACACACGUGCUACAAUGGCCGGUACAGACGGACGCAAAGCCGCGAGGUGGAGCAAAUCCUAAAAGCCGGUCUCAGUUCGGAUUGCAGGCUGCAAUUCGCCUGCAUGAAGUCGGAAUCGCUAGUAAUCGCAGGUCAGCAUACUGCGGUGAAUACGUUCCCGGGCCUU
rnacentral:rRNA from 1 species